AAAUUUUAACAACGGAUCUCUUGGUUCUCGCAUCGAUGAAGAACGUAGCAAAGUGCGAUAACUAGUGUGAAUUGCAUAUUCAGUGAAUCAUCGAGUCUUUGAACGCAACUUGCACUUGCUGGUAUUCCAGCAAGUAUGCCUGUUUCAGUA
rnacentral:rRNA from 1 species